UGGAGAGUUUGAUCCUGGCUCAGAUUGAACGCUGGCGGCAGGUCCUAACACAUGCAAGUCGAGCGGAAACGAGUUAUCUGAACCUUCGGGGAACGAUAACGGCGUCGAGCGGCGGACGGGUGAGUAAUGCCUAGGAAAUUGCCCUGAUGUGGGGGAUAACCAUUGGAAACGAUGGCUAAUACCGCAUAAUACCUACGGGUCAAAGAGGGGGACCUUCGGGCCUCUCGCGUCAGGAUAUGCCUAGGUGGGAUUAGCUAGUUGGUGAGGUAAUGGCUCACCAAGGCGACGAUCCCUAGCUGGUCUGAGAGGAUGAUCAGCCACACUGGAACUGAGACACGGUCCAGACUCCUACGGGAGGCAGCAGUGGGGAAUAUUGCACAAUGGGCGCAAGCCUGAUGCAGCCAUGCCGCGUGUGUGAAGAAGGCCUUCGGGUUGUAAAGCACUUUCAGUCGUGAGGAAGGUAGUGUAGUUAAUAGCUGCAUUAUUUGACGUUAGCGACAGAAGAAGCACCGGCUAA
rnacentral:rRNA from 1 species